rfam:Methylobacterium extorquens AM1, complete genome.
ACAGACGAUACGGGAGAGCCCAGGCUCAUCGAAAGAUGAAUCAUGGCGCCGACGGAGCAACCACCCCCGGAAACUCUCAGGCACAAUCACCGUAUCGUUGGA